rnacentral:rRNA from 1 species
UACGUAGGGUGCAGGCGUUAAUCGGAAUUACUGGGCGUAAAGCGUGCGCAGGCGGUCUGCUAAGAGAGAUGUGAAAUCCCCGGGCUUAACCUGGGAACUGCGUUUCUAACUGGCAGGCUUGAGUGCGGCAGAGGGGGGUGGAAUUCCACGUGUAGCAGUGAAAUGCGUAGAGAUGUGGAGGAACACCGAUGGCGAAGGCAGCCCCCUGGGCUAACACUGACGCUCAUGCACGAAAGCGUGGGGAGCAAACAGG